GUGUAUAUAUUAUAAGGUUAUUAUAUUUGAUUUGCAAUCUUGAGAUUUUUAUGCACA
rnacentral:tRNA from 1 species